rnacentral:rRNA from 1 species
AUUGAACGCUGGCGGCAUGCUUUACACAUGCAAGUCGAACGGCAGCGCGGGCUUCGGCCUGGCGGCGAGUGGCGAACGGGUGAGUAAUGCAUCGGAACGUGCCCAGUAGUGGGGGAUAGCCCGGCGAAAGCCGGAUUAAUACCGCAUACGACCUGAGGGUGAAAGCGGGGGACCGAAAGGCCUCGCGCUAUUGGCGCGGCCGAUGUCGGAUUAGCUAGUUGGUGGGGGAAAGGCUUACCAAGGCGACGAUCCGUAGCUGGUCUGAGAGGCCGACCAGCCACACUGGGACUGAGACACGGCCCAGACUCCUACGGGAGGCAGCAGUGGGGAAUUUUGGACAAUGGGGGCAACCCUGAUCCAGCCAUGCCGCGUGCGGGAAGAAGGCCUUCGGGUUGUAAACCGCUUUUGUUCGGGAAGAAAUCCUCUGGGCUAAUACCCCGGGGGGAUGACGGUACCGGAAGAAUAAGCACCGGCUAACUACGUG